AGGCCUAACACAUGCAAGGUCGAGCGGUAGAGAGAAGCUUGCUUCUCUUGAGAGCGGCGGACGGGUGAGUAAUGCCUAGGAAUCUGCCUGGUAGUGGGGGAUAACGUUCGGAAACGGACGCUAAUACCGCAUACGUCCUACGGGAGAAAGCAGGGGACCUUCGGGCCUUGCGCUAUCAGAUGAGCCUAGGUCGGAUUAGCUAGUUGGUGGGGUAAUGGCUCACCAAGGCGACGAUCCGUAACUGGUCUGAGAGGAUGAUCAGUCACACUGGAACUGAGACACGGUCCAGACUCCUACGGGAGGCAGCAGUGGGGAAUAUUGGACAAUGGGCGAAAGCCUGAUCCAGCCAUGCCGCGUGUGUGAAGAAGGUCUUCGGAUUGUAAAGCACUUUAAGUUGGGAGGAAGGGUUGUAGAUUAAUACUCUGCAAUUUUGACGUUACCGACAGAAUAAGCACCGGCUAACUCUGUGCCAGCAGCCGCGGUAAUACAGAGGGUGCAAGCGUUAAUCGGAAUUACUGGGCGUAAAGCGCGCGUAGGUGGUUAGUUAAGUUGGAUGUGAAAUCCCCGGGCUCAACCUGGGAACUGCAUUCAAAACUGACUGACUAGAGUAUGGUAGAGGGUGGUGGAAUUUCCUGUGUAGCGGUGAAAUGCGUAGAUAUAGGAAGGAACACCAGUGGCGAAGGCGACCACCUGGACUGAUACUGACACUGAGGUGCGAAAGCGUGGGGAGCAAACAGGAUUAGAUACCCUGGUAGUCCACGCCGUAAACGAUGUCAACUAGCCGUUGGGAGCCUUGAGCUCUUAGUGGCGCAGCUAACGCAUUAAGUUGACCGCCUGGGGAGUACGGCCGCAAGGUUAAAACUCAAAUG
rnacentral:rRNA from 1 species